GUGAAUGUGUCAAUAAAAACUGUCAUUAUCUGAAAAUAACUUUUUCUUUUCCUAAAAUCCUAAAUAAAAGAGAUUUCUAAAAAAAAAAGUAUUUUCUAAUCGUAACCAAGUAAGAUUUUUUUUUCUUUUUUUUCUAAAUCCUGACGAGAGAGAAUGUAAAUUUUUAUUUAAUAAUAUUUUUUACUUAAAAAUUAAUGAUAAACCUGUUAGUACAAUUAUUUAAUUAACAAGAAAAAUUGUAAAAAUAUUAGUGAUAUUGAAAACAACAAAUUUUGAAAAUGCAACUUUUAAAAAUAGUUAAUAUUAAGUGGUAAUAAUUAUUUGAUAAAACUUUUAUUUUUCUA
rnacentral:lncRNA from 1 species